AACUCUGGGGGCGGCCAUGCAACUCGAGUGCGGCUGUCGCGUCGGAUCUGGAAAAGAUCUCGCGGGUCCACCUGUGGAUAGAUCUGACGGGGGAGGGAGAUCAGCAGGAUCCGUCGGUGGGCUGAGCUCGCCGGGGUCGGGAGAGGGGCGAAGCAGGAAGGGGUCGGAUCUCAGGGGUCGGGACCGGCGGAAAACUGGGCACUUAGGUGCGGUCAAGCCAAACAGCUGACUAAGGUUAAGGGCUGGGAUUAAGCCUAACUGGGAAGGCUUAGGGGUCGGUCGUUAC
rnacentral:lncRNA from 1 species